rnacentral:tRNA from 1 species
UCUAAUAUGGCAGAAUAGUGCAGUGGAUUUAAGCUCCACAAAUAAAGUUUCACACUUUUUUUAGAA